rnacentral:rRNA from 1 species
GGAAUAUUGGACAAUGGGGGAAACCCUGAUCCAGCCAUGCCGCGUGUGUGAAGAAGGCCUUAGGGUUGUAAAGCACUUUCAGCGAGGAGGAAAGGUUGUUGGCUAAUAUCCAACAGCUGUGACGUUACUCGCAGAAGAAGCACCGGCUAACCCCGUGCCAGCAGCCGCGGUAAUACGGAGGGUGCAAGCGUUAAUCGGAAUUACUGGGCGUAAAGCGCGCGUAGGUGGCUGUCUAAGCCAGAUGUGAAAGCCCCGGGCUCAACCUGGGAAUUGCAUUUGGAACUGGGCGGCUAGAGUACAGGAGAGGAUAGUGGAAUUCCAGGUGUAGCGGUGAAAUGCGUAGAUAUCUGGAGGAACAUCAGUGGCGAAGGCGACUGUCUGGUCUGAUACUGACACUGAGGUGCGAAAGCGUGGGGAGCAAAC